AAAAAUAAACAGAUUAAAACAACAGCAAGAAGGCAAUCAAAGUGGCAUGUAAGAACAGCCUGAUAUAGGCCACAACCUAGCCCUCAAGCCUACUGCGGCUUCCAGUUGCCAUGGCAACCUCCAAUGGAAUUAUGGGACUUGCAGUUCAGGGCGGAGCUCUCCGAACCCUUAGCCGGAGGACUCUUGGGCCUCACUGAACUACAAGUCCCAGAAUGCCUCCGUACGUUCAUAGCGCCAUACCAGUCUAUCAAGCGCCUAGGUCUCGAUUCCAGGUCCUGUCUCCUCACAAGUCACUCUUGCGAGAGGCGCUGAGGAAGAAAAUAGCUUUCCUUGAGCCUCAGAGCGCUUCUCGCUUCUCUCUUCCUCUUUAGCUCUAUUUUGAUUUGAUUCUUGGCGCGCUCGUGCAAGUUCGUGGCUCAGGCGGAGGAAGGAGCGCCCUCAGCAUGACUGCAGAGCCAGCCCCGAGCAGCCUUUCCCCUUCUUCGCCUGGCAGGGCGGCCAGAGCCAAAGCCCGGUGGAAGCUGCUCAGACAGGUUCUGAAAGAAAAACACUUGGAGAAUGUCCACCUUCAGCAAGUAUCAGUAAGGAGAUUUGCUUCGUUCAAUCUUUUCUCAAGCAUGAAAGAGGACAGAAAGCUAGCUGAAGAGGAUGAUGAAACUUGGGUUCGAUACAAAAGCAUCUCUUUUCCUGAGUAUAGUAUAUCUUUAAGAUGGAACAAUGGACAAUUAAAUGUUGAAGAUGUUCUGGCAAGUUUUGACAACACAGGGAACGUUUUUCUGCUCAGAGGCUACAGGUUUCUUCAUAGGUCUCAUAGGUCUCACUGGAUGGCUUAG
rnacentral:lncRNA from 11 species